rnacentral:misc_RNA from 1 species
AAAGUCGUAACAAGGUCUCCGUUGGUGAACCAGCGGAGGGAUCAUUACCGAGUUUACAACUCCCAAACCCCUGUGAACAUACCUUAUCGUUGCCUCGGCGGGAUCGCCCCGGCGCCCUCGGGCCCGGACCCAGGCGCCCGCCGCAGGACCCCCAAACUCUUGUUUUUUUGAGAAUCUUCUGAGUAAACAAGCAAAUAAAUUAAAACUUUCAACAACGGAUCUCUUGGUUCUG